UUUCUAAACCUAAUGUCUCUAACUAUUGAUGUAGUUUUAUUUCAAAAUCAAAUCUACCUAGGGAAGAAAUUCAAAAUGCAAAUAUGCUAGUAUAAGCUAUUUCACCUAAUUCUAACUAUGUCACUAGUUUACAUAUGAACAAUUUCAUAUACAAAAAAGAAUUGUCUAAUGAUCAAAUAAAAGGAAACAAAAACAUGAUGAACCAACCCAUUGUCAUAUAUACAAAAGAAAAUGCACCCAAGGUAGCUAGCCGAAUGGUCAAGCAUUUGAUUUAGAUGUGGUUGGUUGGAUACCUUAAUCACAAUAUGUCGCAUUCAAAAUAACCUUAGAGGCCACGUAGUCUCCAAGUUAUGGAGGCUUAUUCAAUGUAUGUCAUGAAGGGCGGGAUUUGUACUGCACCGUGCUGUAAAAAAGGCAUCAUUAAUUGCUCAAAUCAGUUAUGACGGAGCAGCAUUUCUAAGUGCAUGUAAUUAAAUAUCUAUUAGACAUCUUGCUAGUAAUGCGUGUACAAAUAAUUCGAUAUAUGUGAUCGCGUAGGGGCANNNNNNNNNNNNNNNNNNNNNNNNNNNNNNNNNNNNNNNNNNNNNNNNNNNNNNNNNNNNNNNNNNNNNNNNNNNNNNNNNNNNNNNNNNNNNNNNNNNNUGUGGCCUCGGGGGAUGAAGAUCAUUAAAAGUGGCAACGGCAUUAUACAAAUACCCUUCUUUCCCUUUUAGAAUGUUUAUGGUAGUUGGUUUUGUUGUUUUUGCAGGACUUCCAACAAUUGAGGUACAUUAAAUUGCAUGAUUGCGAGUCGCUCGUUAGUACACCCAACAUCUCAUGUGCUCCAAAUCUCGAAGAAUUGAAACUCUGGAAUUGCAAUAACUUGGUAGAAGCCCAUGAGUCAAUUGCAUAUCAUGACAAGCUCCAGGUCUUGCAUCUUAAAUGGUGCCCUGAACUUUGUGUUUUUCCGAAGGUGCUCAAGUCAAAAAAUCUUCAAGAUCUCAAACUUUCCGAUUGCCCAAAAUUGGAAAGAUUCCCUGAUAUUCCAAAUGAACUUAGAGGCCUGAAAGAACUUUCCAUACGACAUACCGCUUUAAAAGAACUUCCUACAUCAAUAAAAAAUCUUGUCUCUCUAGAGAAAAUACAUUUAGACAUGGGCAAAAACCCUAUAAGUCAUCCAUCUAACAAUUACAAGUUACAAAAACUUCAAUGGUUCAAAUCUUUUCUCUGCCAAAUCGUGUUUCCAAACCUUUGGAAUUCAGCUGAUCCAUGCAUGAAGAUCGGACUUCCAAAUUCAAAUGUGUCAGACCUUUUAAAUUGUAAUCUAUCCCAAGUAGAGUUUCUUGAGGAUCUUUCUUGUUUCCCCUUGUUGAAAAUCUUAAUUCUGUCGGGGAACAAUAUUACUAGCCUUUCCACAUCCAUCAAGCGUGAUCGUUUGUCCACAUCGUCAAUUAGUAAGGUGAGCAUUUAUCUACAUAGACCUUUUUAUUAUCUACUUCAUUUGUAUGGGCGUUUGUGUACUGUAUGCACUAGUAUCCCUAAGGAAAUGGUGUUCCUCUGUUUUAGAAACCACUACUCUAUUUUCUUGUAGAAUGUCGUUAACUACGUGUGUUGGAAAUAACGUCCAACAUAAUUGGCAUUGAAAAAUUAAGUGAAACAUCUUUAUAAGAAAUCCGCAAUGAAAACAUUUUGCGGGUAAAAUACACAAUACAAACAAUUUCUAUUAUUAUAUGCAGAAAGAAAAAAUUUGAAUUUUCCUAUGAAGGCCAUUGGAUCAUGAUUAGAUUCAAUUUUUAAUAUAUUAAAAUAUGUGAGAGAUAAAAUAAAAUAACCGAUUUCGUGCAUUUGUCCAUGGAUAUUAUAUUUGUAAAAUGAGCAACUGAAGAUCAUGGAUGGAAGGAAUGAAAAAGAGGUUAAAAUCCUUCACAAGUAGAAGGUUUUUAUUAUAUAUAGAAGGACAGAUACUUUCUAAACCUAAUAUCUCGAACUAUUGAUGUAGUUUUAUUUCAAAAUCAAAUCUACCUAGGGAAGAAAUUCAAAAUGCAAAUAUGCUAGUAUAAACUAUUUCGCCUAAUUCUAACUAUGUCACUAGUUUACAUAUAAACAUUUUUAUAUACAAAAAAUAAUUGUAUAAUGGUCAGAUAAAGGGAAAUAAAAACAUGACGAAUUAACCCAUUGACAUAUAUACAAAAGUAAAAACGUCCAAGGAAUAGCUUGUUAAAUGGUCAAGCAUUUAAUUUAAAUGUGGUUGGUCAGAUAUAUUGAUCAUAAUAUCUCACUCUCAAAAUAACCUUAGAGGCCACGUAGUCUCCAAGUCAUGGAGGCUUUCCAAUGUAUGUUGUAAAGGGCGGCAUUUGUCCUGCACCGUGCUGUAAAUAUAUACAUCAUUAUUUGCUCAAAUCAGUUCUGAAGGAGUAGCAUUUCUAAGUACCCGUAAUUAAAUAUUUAUUAAACAUCUUGCUAGUAAUGCAUGUACAACUAAUUCGAUAUAAGUGAUCCCGUAGGGGCAUGCCACCAGGAAUUGUCACCAAUUAUAAGGUGAUAUAAAUUAUAACUAAUUCAUUCAAAAACUUUUGGCAAUCCUUAAUAAUUCAAUAUUUGUUCUCACCAAUUAUAAGGUGAUAUAAAUUAUCUCCAUCAACUAUAAAGUAACAGG
rnacentral:lncRNA from 1 species